AUUGAACGCUGGCGGCAUGCCUUACACAUGCAAGUCGAACGGCAGCACGGGAGCAAUCCUGGUGGCGAGUGGCGAACGGGUGAGUAAUAUAUCGGAACGUGCCCAGUAGUGGGGGAUAACUGCUCGAAAGAGCAGCUAAUACCGCAUACGACCUGAGGGUGAAAGGGGGGGAUCGCAAGACCUCUCGCUAUUGGAGCGGCAGAUAUCAGAUUAGCUAGUUGGUGGGGUAAAGGCCUACCAAGGCAACGAUCUGUAGUUGGUCUGAGAGGACGACCAGCCACAGUGGGACUGAGACACGGCCCAGACUCCUACGUGAGGCAGCAGUGGGGAAAUUUGGACAAUGGGCGCAAGCCUGAUCCAGCAAUGCCGCGUGCAGGAAGAAGGCCUUCGGGUUGUAAACUGCUUUUGUCAGGGAAGAAAUCCUCUAGGUUAAUACCCUUGGGGGGAUGACGGUACCUGAAGAAUAAGCACCGGCUAACUGCGUGCCAGCCGCCGCAGUAAAAC
rnacentral:rRNA from 1 species